rnacentral:scRNA from 1 species
CUUCAAUAUCGGUACUCGACCGCUCAUUUUUG